CCUUGUACACACCGCCCGUCAAGCCACGAAAGGGAGGGAUAUCCGAAGUCGCCGUGCCAACCGCAAGGGGGCAAGCGCCGACGAUAGACUUCCUGAUUGGGACU
rnacentral:rRNA from 1 species